UACGAAGGGGGCUAGCGUUGCUCGGAAUUACUGGGCGUAAAGCGCACGUAGGCGGGUCGUUAAGUCGGGGGUGAAAUCCUGGAGCUCAACUCCAGAACUGCCUUCGAUACUGGCGAUCUAGAGUCCGGAAGAGGUGAGUGGAACUCCUAGUGUAGAGGUGGAAUUCGUAGAUAUUAGGAAGAACACCAGUGGCGAAGGCGGCUCACUGGUCCGGUACUGACGCUGAGGUGCGAAAGCGUGGGGAGCA
rnacentral:rRNA from 1 species